CGCCGUUGCUUCGGCGCGGUUAGGGCGAAAGGGUGCGGUAAGAGCGCACCGCGCCUCUGGCAACAGAGGCGGCAUGGUAAACCCCACCGGGAGCAAGACCGAAUAGGGGCGGCAUAUGGGAGUCCUCCUCCCCGUCGCCCGGGUUGGUUGCUUGAGCGGGCCAGCAAUGGUCCGCCUAGAGGAAUGGUCGCCCAUCGUGUUUCGGCACGUGGACAGAACCCGGCUUACAGGCCCUCUGGCAGU
rnacentral:RNase_P_RNA from 1 species